UAUUCACAUAGCAAGUAUCUUGACUUUUAAUCGAUUGGUCGCAGGUUCGAGCCGAGCGAAGCGAGACAACAACGCGUUAGCGUUGACCCCGAAGGCCGAGUUAUCCUGCACGACCCACCA
rnacentral:sRNA from 1 species